AUUGAACGCUGGCGGCAGGCCUAACACAUGCAAGUCGAGCGGAGCGGGGGACGGGUGAGUAAUGCCUAGGACUGUGCCUGGUAGUGGGGGAUAAGGUCCGGAAAGGGGCGCUAAUACCGCAUCCUCUCAGCUGCACCUAGGUCGGAUUAGCUAGUUGGUGGGGUAAAGGCCUACAAAGGCGACGAUCCGUACCUGGUCUGAGAGGAUGACCAGCCACACUGGAACUGAGACACGGUCCAGACUCCUACGGGAGGAAGAAGUGGGGAAUAUUGGACAAUGGGCGAAAGCCUGAUGCAGCCAUGCCGAGUGUGUGAAGAAGGUCUUCGGUUUGUAAAGUACUUUCAGUGGGGAGGCGUUACCAACAGAAGAAGCACCGGCUAACUACGUGCCAGCAGCCGCGGUAAUUC
rnacentral:rRNA from 1 species